UUUAUCGCUACUCCCUGACACAAACUGAAAAUGGAAGGGAAGAAUUAAUUUGUUUAAAGGCAUGAAAUUCGAAUAUUAGAUUUAUUUUCCAUCAACUUUUAUUCUCUUGGUUUUUUGGGAAUAAAUCACUUUUCUCCCUUCGGGAGCCACCUGCCUUCAUGGCCGGUGAUGCUACUCAUCAGGCAGGACAACAAGAUACAUCAAACAUAUAGCAGCACCCGACAUCUCUAGUUGCAGCGACCUAGGGCCACAACAUCUGCCCAGGUCAACAAGUCUACAGCUGUACCAUCCGACAUCAAGAAGAUCUACCAUCAAAUACCACAAGCUAUGCAUAAGUAUAAUCUACAAAUUGUUAGUUUUUGGAAAGAAUUUGAAUAUUUGUUAAUGCAUUUAAUAAGUCAUAUUUUUAUUAUAUCUUUAUUGAACAAAUAAACAUGAUUAGCUAAAAA